GGGGUGUUAACUCAGUAGUAGAGUACUUGCUUCACAUGCACAAGGCCCUGGGUUCCAUCCCCAAGACGACCCU
rnacentral:tRNA from 1 species